AGACCGGUCUAGGAGCCAGCCGGCAGUGAAGGAAAGGAGGGCUGAAUAUGAACUAAGACUUUGUGUGAAGACUCCGUUUCUCCCCGGUCACCCCAAACAGAAAAUCCUCUUUCAUUGUUCCAUUUCGUAAGUGGAGGAGAAUGUCUUCUUUUGGAAAAUCAGUAAUUGGAAUUUCAAUUUUCAAUAGAGGGACUAGUGCUUACCGGUGCUGAUUACUUGGGAUAGUUGGAUUACAAUGAGGUUUAAGACAUCAUCCACAUCUUUUGUAAAUGUUCUUUGUUUAGAAAUGACUUCAUGUUACCCUAUAUAUUCCACGGAAUUCUUUUGAAUCAAAUUUUAACAGGGUGGGGGAAGGGUGAACUAAAAGCUCUCCCAGUGUAGAAUAUGGGACUUCUUUUUAAAAUACAGAUGAUCUCCAACUUAUGAUGCUUCUACUUAUAUUUUUAGACUUUACCAUGGUGCAAAAGCCAUAUACAUUCAGUAGAAACUGUAUUUUGACUAUGGACCAUACAAUCAUUCUAUUUUUCACUGUCAGGUUAGUAUUGAAUAAGUUUCAUGAGAUAGUCAACACUUUACUAUAAAAUAGCUUUGUGUUAGAUAAUUUUCCCCAACUGCCGGCUAAUGUAAGUGUUUUGAGCAUGUUUAAGGUAGGCUAGGCUAGGCUGUGAUGCUUGGUAGUUUAAGUGUAUUAAAUGCAUUUUCAACCUAUGAUGUUCUCAACUUUUGAUGAGUUUAUCAGAGCAUAAGCCUCAUUGGAAGUCAAGGAUCAUCUGUAUUUUUAGCUUCAAUAAUGUAUUUCUGAACCAUUCACUCACACUUGUCCUUAUUAAGUUUGUGCUGCUGAUGAAUACAGAGCUUUGUUUUUAAAAAGGUAACAAUAAACCCCCAGAGGCUGUAACUGUGUUGUCCAAUACAAUAGUCACUAGCCAUGUGGCUAUGUCAAUGAAAUUAAUUAAAAUUAAAUAAAAGAAAAAUGCAGUUCCUCAGUAGCAUUAACCAUAUUUCAAGUGCUCAAUAGCUACAUGUGGCUGGUGGCUACCAUAUUGGACAACACAGAUAUAGAUCAUUUCCAUCAUUGCAGCAAGCUCUACUGGACAGCACUACCCUAUAAUGUUGGUGUGGAAUUAGUUAAUGUGGUAUAUACACAUAUAUAAAGUUUUUAGAAUAGUAGAAUAGUGCAUAGAGUGCUUACUUCAUAAGCAGCAGCAGUACUGGGGGUUGUAGUUGGAAGGAUAAUGAUGAUGAUGAUGAUGAUGAUGAUGAUGAUGCCUUGUUAGUCUCUUGUAGAAGUCAAAGAAUCGAUGAAGACACAGCCCACUUCUGGUAUGUCAGGAUGAGAUCAGCAGGCAAAGAAGCCAGGGAGUAGGAGAAUCUAUAUGUCAAAAGCUGAUCUUCCAAGGAAAGCUGUGAACAGAAAGAUGUGGCCCAUACUGUAGCCUAAGACUUCCCGUAG
rnacentral:lncRNA from 10 species